rnacentral:rRNA from 1 species
UUGGAGGGCAAGUCUGGUGCCAGCAGCCGCGGUAAUUCCAGCUCCAAUAGCGUAUAUUAAAGUUGUUGCAGUUAAAAAGCUCGUAGUUGAAUUUCGGGGUUCUACCGUUGGUCGGGCUAUUGUCUGUACUGGCGUGUAGAAUUUCUACCUUCUGGGGAACUAUCAUGUUAUUAAUUUAGCGUGGUAGGAAACCAGGACCUUUACCUUGAAAAAAUUAGAGUGUUCAAAGCAGGCUUAUGUCUGAAUACAUUAGCAUGGAAUAAUAAAAUAGGACGGUGGUCCUGUUUUGUUGGUCUCUGAAUCACCGUAAUGAUUAAUAGGGAUAGUUGGGGGCAUUAGUAUUCAAUUGUCAGAGGUGAAAUUCUUGGAUUUAUUGAAGACUAACUACUGCGAAAGCAUUUGCCAAGGAUGUUUUCAUUAAUCAAGAACGAAAGUUAGGGGAUCGAAGACGAUCAGAUACCGUCGUAGUCUUAACCAUAAACUAUGCCGACUAGGGAUCGGACGAUGUUAACUUUUCUUGACUCGUUCGGCGCCUUACGGGAAA